CCUACGGGAGGCAGCAGUGAGGAAUAUUGGUCAAUGGCCGAGAGGCUGAACCAGCCAAGUCGCGUGAGGGAAGACGGCCCUACGGGUUGUAAACCUCUUUUGUCGGGGAGCAAAGCGAGUCACGUGUGACUCAUUGAGAGUACCCGAAGAAAAAGCAUCGGCUAACUCCGUGCCAGCAGCCGCGGUAAUCAGGAGGAUGCGAGCGUUAUCCGGAUUUAUUGGGUUUAAAGGGUGCGCAGGCGGGGGGGCAAGUCAGCGGUCAACUUCCGGGGCUCAACCCCGUACUGCCGUUGAAACGGGAGCCCUUGAGUGCGCGAGAAGUAUGCGGAAUGCGUGGUGUAGCGGUGAAAUGCAUAGAUAUCACGCAGAACUCCGAUUGCGAAGGCAGCAUACCGGCGCGCAACUGACGCUCAUGCACGAAAGCGUGGGUAUCGAACAGGAUUAGAUACCCUUGUAGUC
rnacentral:rRNA from 1 species